AAUACACUUACGUAAAUCUAACUUAACAGUAUUGAGUUCAAACUAAGUAACAACAUUUCUUAAAAGUUACUUAAAGCAGUUGUGUGGAACCACUUGACAUAACUUUUUUAAGUAAAUCUAAUGUUUUAUUUUUUUGAGUGCAGCAGAGUCAACUUUAAAAAUAAACAUGUGGUUCCUCUUUGUUCCACCGUACAGUCAGAUCAGCCCAGAGAACAGGAAUGUUCUCAUUAUGCUGCUGUCAGAUUCAGCUCUGCCGGAGCAUCUGGUGUCACUCCAGCAGACACAGACUUACAGACUUACUCUUCUGUGAAACUUUGAGAGAGAUACUGUGUAUUGGAUAUGUGUGCCACAUAUCCAGUGGUGGCUGAUGAUGAAACAAGUCCUCAGCAAGGAACAAGUGCCUGUUAAUGAAUGCAGCACAUAAACCUACAUAACUGAAUGCAGCAGGGUGUUACGUGUGUGUUUAUCAGUUCGCCAUCUUAACUAUCUCUAGACGUCAUUUUCCUUCUCUCUUUUUUGACACCACCCUCUACUGGUGCAGUUUGGUAUCUAACAUUACAGGACACAGCACAGUUGUUGACAGCUGUUACAAUGAAUGAUUUAUUGUGGGAUGCCCUUAUUUUAUAACCCUAAAAAAAUAUUUCCUAUGUAUGAAAUACAAAGGGAAUACAGUGACUCAGUAUCUUGAACUGAGUUUGAGCAGUUUCAUCAUAACAAUGACUGCUGUAGAUGUCUGAAUGCACUGAUCUGAUUGUCUGAUUAAAUAUUAAAUACCUAAUAAAUUGGCUGGUGAGUGUUCCAGUGCUGUUGUGAUGUAUUAUACAGUAGUUCGUGCUACGUUCUCAUUUUGUAUGUUUUUGGAUCGUCUGUUUUCUGAUGAGUGUAGCUUCACAUGUGUCACAGUCCUGGGUCAGUCACCCAGUGUUUUGACUUUUGUAAUAUUAUUGAUCUUUGUUUUCAUCAUGGUUUUGACUGCUAGUGUUUUGGUUUCUGUUUUGUACUUUGAGCUCUCCAGUUUUUCUUGCUUUACGAUUCCUAGUUCUUGGGUUUUGGUUCCUGUGCUCCUCAUGUCACCCUCGGUCCUGUACUCCGUGUCCCCUCUGUGUAGCAUCAAGUCCUUGCCCCUGUGCUGGUUGUAUUUCCUGUUUUAUUUUGAAGGUCCAUGUGUCAUGUGAAUGUAUUUUGUUUUGCUUCCCCCCUCUCUCGUCAUGUUGAAUUAGGUUCAGCUGUGUCUCACUCCUGUGUGCCAUUUCCUUAUUUCCUUAUUUAGUGUGUGUUAUCUGUUGCUCUUCGUUGGUCUGUCUGCCUACCAUUUAACUGUGUUACUGCUGCUCUCAGUCCCCCCACGGUUCCAGGUUUGGCUAGUUCUGGUUUCAGAUUCAGACCACUACGGCUGAAGCUGGAGAGUCUUCUUCAUCACAGAAGUUUGUUUCCAUCAUAAAUGCAGAAAACAGUUUUAUCACCAACGCCUCCACAAUUUAACACAACUGCACGCAGCUCAAAGAGCCACAACACAGAGCAGAUGAAAUGAAAAUAAAAUGUUGCACACAUUAAAGUGAGAAAUGAGAGAACAGCUACAGGUUGUAUUUCCAUGUAAACAUGUUACACACUGAAUGAACAAAAAAAUGCAUCUAGGUCCUUUAGCUAAUAUAACAUAAACACACAUCAUGAUUGUGUAUCGCUCUCACCUCAAACACAACUAAACAGGCUUGUGUUAUUCUCUGCUUCUCUUGCUGUUAUCCAGCUGUCAUGACUUUAGGCUGACUGAUUUUCGUACCGCUCGGGUAAGAAUUCAAGCCGCUGCUGCCAUCUACUGGCGACACGCAAUAUUGCAUCACCAGUUUUUAAGCUGUGUCCAGUUCAGUGAGAACUCUUGAUUUUUCUUUUCUUUUGUGAACUGCAGUCGCCAUGUUGUCUCAGUG
ensembl:lncRNA